AGAGCCUAGGUAGGGGGAAGUACACAAAAUACAUUCUCUUUCCCCUGUACUUUUGUUACAUCAUUUUUUUGCUGUCUAGACAUUUUUGUGGUAAGUCAUUUAUAUAACAAUCUCUGUUGCAACAUAAAACUUUUUUUCUGAACAGUUAACCUUGCACAUGAUAUUUAAAUAGUAAUGUUUAAUUUUUCUUUCUUUUGCUCUUUUGAAAACUUUAACUGCUUUAGCUAAACCUCAGCCAAAUUCCUGGUUUUGCUGGGCAACAGCACCUAUUUAAUACAAUUUUUUAUAGCGAACCCAAAGGCUCUUUUCAGAGCCAUCCACAUUGCGUCACUGAUUGGACAUCUAAUUCAUCUUUAUUGGACAUCUAAUUCAUCUUUCAGCUUGCCUCUUAAAAACUGCCAGGAAACCCAAAAAAACACAGAUUCAACUAAAAAAAAAAAGCCUAUAAUUUCUACCCAAAAAAAACGACCCAUUUUUUUACCCCACCCAGCCAAUCUGUUGCCCUAACCCCAAAACACUGACUUUCCCCAAAACAGAACGUCCCUUUAACUUUUUGCUUUGACAGAAAGAGUGAGAGCAGAACUACCUACAGCUCCAGUGUGCCCUGCUGCCUUGAGUGUCUUCACAAAGCAACGUUGAUUAGAGGACUGCGUUGGGAAAUCAACACCAUCAACACACACAAUAAUUUACUAUAGUUUUAAAAUUACAUAAUUUCCUAUAGUCUUUUAGACUGCUUAUAAUAGAUAAUACACAUUACAGUGCUUUUAAAAGUCAUUAAUAUAUCAGUAAAAAAAAAAAAUUGUUUUUGCAAGUUCAUCUUUGAAACGUAUUACAUUUAUAUCUGAGUCAA